GCAUCCUCGAUUGUCUAAAGAUUUAUCACUUCAAAAUGGUCUUGCGGCCUAUCAGCUAGUUGGUGAGGUGACGGCUUACCAAGGCGACGACGGGUAGCUGGUCUGAGAGGACGAUCAACCCGAGUGGGACUGAGAUAAGGCCCAGACUCCUACCGGGGGCAGCAAUUAAGAAUCGUGAUUAAUGUGCGAUCGCCUGAUGCAGCGACUCCGCGUGAAGGAUGAGGGUUCUGGGAUCGUACACUUCUUUUAAGUGGGAAGAAAUUUGACGGUACCACUUGAAUAAGCCCCGGCUAACUACGUGCCAGCAGCCGCGGUAAUACGUAGGGGGCGAGCGUUGUCCGAAGUUACUGGGCGUAAAGCGCGCGUAGGCGGUUUCUUAAGUCUGGGGUGAAAGGUUCAACGCUCAACGUGAACAGUGCCUUGGAUACUGGGAGACUUGAGUUAGGGAGAGGGUAGUGGAAUUCCUGGUGUAGCGGUGAAAUGCGUAGAUAUCAGGAGGAACACCAAUGGCGAAGGCAGCUACCUGGCCUAUAACUGACGCUGAGGUGCGAAAGCGUG
rnacentral:rRNA from 1 species